UCUCCGUUGGUGAACCAGCGGAGGGAUCAUUACAGGACUCGCAAGACCACUUCUCCCUGUGAACCUCACUACAAGCACGUUGCUUCGGCGGGUGUCCCGGCGGGGGAUUUCCCUGGCCGGGGCGCACAGCCCGCCGGGCGCCUACUAUACUCUGUCUCUAUGCGUUGGCAUCGCGAGAAUAAACAAACAAGUUAAAACUUUCAACAACGGAUCUCUUGGUUCUG
rnacentral:misc_RNA from 1 species